UGCUUAACACAUGCAAGUCGAACGAAACACCUUAUUUGAUUUUCUUCGGAACUGAAGAUUUGGUGAUUGAGUGGCGGACGGGUGAGUAACGCGUGGGUAACCUGCCCUGUACAGGGGAAUAACAGUCAGAAAUGACUGCUAAUACCGCAUAAGACCACAGCACCGCAUGGUGCGGGGGUAAAAACUCCGGUGGUACAGGAUGGACCCGCGUCUGAUUAGCUGGUUGGUGAGGUAACGGCUCACCAAGGCGACGAUCAGUAGCCGGCUUGAGAGAGUGAACGGCCACAUUGGGACUGAGACACGGCCCAAACUCCUACGGGAGGCAGCAGUGGGGAAUAUUGCACAAUGGGGGAAACCCUGAUGCAGCGACGCCGCGUGAGUGAAGAAGUAUCUCGGUAUGUAAAGCUCUAUCAGCAGGGAAGAAAAUGACGGUACCUGACUAAGAAGCCCCGGCUAACUACGUGCCAGCAGCCGCGGUAAUACGUAGGGGGCAAGCGUUAUCCGGAAUUACUGGGUGUAAAGGGUGCGUAGGUGGUAUGGCAAGUCAGAAGUGAAAACCCAGGGCUUAACUCUGGGACUGCUUUUGAAACUGUCAGACUAGAGUGCAGGAGAGGUAAGCGGAAUCCCUAGUGUAGCGGUGAAAUGCGUAGAUAUUAGGAGGAACAUCAGUGGCGAAGGCGGCUUACUGGACUGAAACUGACACUGAGGCACGAAAGCGUGG
rnacentral:rRNA from 1 species